AUGUAGACGAGCUGGCACGUUAGCCCCGUGCUAUUCGCAAAUGGGCUUUAUGGCGGAGCUUAAAGGAGCGAGUGACGCAGAAUCAUGAUAGUCUUCAGCUGGACGUUGAGGCACUGUCCUGUUCGACUCUGCUCCUGUGAAAUGGGUCAGGCCAGGAAUGGAGCAGCCCUAAACAAGAGUUUGGGUGCUUACGGGGGUGCGGUGCUGAGGAAGGUUGAAGGUAGCUAUCAUGGCAAUGUUGAGCAAACUCCCCGUCUACAC
rnacentral:SRP_RNA from 6 species